UAGGGAAUCAAGCCCUGUUAAAUGGAUAAUCAUGAUGACUCCAAACCAUCUGAGAAGUAAUAUGGGGAAACAUUUGGGAUUCAUUACCAUAGAUGGAAAAAUUGUGGAUGAAUGGACAGCUGUUUCUAAAUGAUUUUUCCAUUGGAAAUAAUGUCAUUGCUCCUGCACUCCUGCUGUCCUGUUAACAUGACAAGAGGUCACCUGUGUUAUUAUUCAUGUAUAAAUAUAAAAUCUGGGCUUUACUGUUAAGAUGGAACUCAUUUGGAACUUUUGAAAAACUGCUGGAUUAAAGCUGGGGUAGGCAAUAUAUUACUGAAGCAUUUUUUUAUUAUAUUUGUUGAAAUUCUCUUUGUAUCGGACCAAAUUAAUUUAUUGGUUGGCCUACCUGCCUGUUUACCUGCACACACACUGCCCAUAUACUCAUUGAGCAUGAAAAUGUGUUUUUGGGCAGUGGUUUGGAGGGCUGAAGAGAUGGGGGUGGGAAUUUUUCUGUUGGAUACUUUCAAAAUCUAGCUGUCUCUUGCUGUCUGUCUCAAGCUUUUCAUAUGAUAUGUGUGCAGAAAUCUUAAUUAAUGCAAGUAACUAAAGCUGUCAAACAAUUUGAAAUUUAACUUAAUUAAAUCUCACUUAAAAAAAUACAAUAUUUCCCUCUGAAGUGGAGUGGAGUUGAAGUAGAAAGUGCCAUGGCCUCCACCUCUGCAUACCUUUUCUCUUUAUGUUGAUGUGACUGUGAUUACUCAAGCAGAGUCAGGUGUGUCAGUCCUGAGUUGAACCUCACCAGCUGCCUCCCAUUCUGCAAUCAAUUCUCCUUCAAUAACCCUGAACGGCCACUCUCACGCUGCCAGAUCGUAGCUCAUGCUGAUUCUGUCUCCAACAGUUAACCUGUUGGUUUUGCCUCUCAGCUCUGGACUCAGCUUGGCUCUGCUAAUCACUGGGCCCUGCUCUGGCACACACCACUUCUGGCUUUUCCCCUGUCCGGAUUCCCAAAUCACCCCCUUGGAUCAACUUCACUCCCUGCUCACAUUAUUAUGGUUAUAAAUAAAUCAUCUUACAAAAUAUACUCCUGCCUCCAUGUGUCUAGCGCUUGAGUUCACCAGCUCCACCGUAACAGAAAAUGGCAUGAAAAGAAAAAGAACAAGUACCUCAAAUGAGAACUUAUGUAACCUAUGAGUCUAUGUUUAUACUAUACUAAAAUUAUUUGUAUACUCAUCUGGUGAUCCACUCACAUACAUUAGUAUUGACCAUUUUGAACAUCUAGUGGUUGUAAAGAUGUUUAUAAUUCUAAAGUUGUUUAAAUAAAGUAUUCAGGGUUUU